rnacentral:rRNA from 1 species
UACGUAGGGGGCAAGCGUUAUCCGGAUUUACUGGGUGUAAAGGGAGCGCAGACGGAAAGCCAAGUCUGAUGUGAAAUGUAGGGGCUCAACCCCUAACCUGCAUUGGAAACUGGUUAUCUGGAGUGCAGGAGAGGUAAGCGGAAUUCCUAGUGUAGCGGUGAAAUGCGUAGAUAUUAGGAGGAACACCGGUGGCGAAGGCGGCUUACUGGACUGUAACUGACGUUGAGGCUCGAAAGCGUGGGGAGCAAAC